rnacentral:rRNA from 1 species
UACGAAGGUGGCAAGCGUUGUUCGGAUUUACUGGGCGUACAGGGAGCGUAGGCGGUUGGAUAAGCCCUCCGUGAAAUCUCCAGGCUUAACCUGGAAAGUGCAGAGGGGACUGUUCAGCUAGAGGAUGGGAGAGGAGCGCGGAAUUCCCGGUGUAGCGGUGAAAUGCGUAGAGAUCGGGAGGAAGGCCGGUGGCGAAGGCGACGAUCUGGACGGACACUGACGCUGAGACGCGAAAGCGUGGGGAGCAAACAGG